GACCAUGUCUGUGUGCUAUACAUGCAGUCGAACGCACUCUCGUUUAGAUUGAAGGAGCUUGCUCCUGAUUGAUAAACAUUUGAGUGAGUGGCGGACGGGUGAGUAACACGUGGGUAACCUGCCCUAAAGUGGGGGAUAACAUUUGGAAACAGAUGCUAAUACCGCAUAAAACCUAACACCGCAUGGUGUAGGGUUGAAAGAUGGUUUCGGCUAUCACUUUAGGAUGGACCCGCGGUGCAUUAGUUAGUUGGUGAGGUAAAGGCUCACCAAGACCGUGAUGCAUAGCCGACCUGAGAGGGUAAUCGGCCACACUGGGACUGAGACACGGCCCAGACUCCUACGGGAGGCAGCAGUAGGGAAUCUUCCACAAUGGACGAAAGUCUGAUGGAGCAACGCCGCGUGAGUGAAGAAGGUUUUCGGAUCGUAAAACUCUGUUGUUGGAGAAGAAUGUAUCUGAUAGUAACUGAUCAGGUAGUGACGGUAUCCAACCAGAAAGCCACGGCUAACUACGUGCCAGCAGCCGCGGUAAUACGUAGGUGGCAAGCGUUGUCCGGAUUUAUUGGGCGUAAAGCGAGCGCAGGCGGUUUCUUAAGUCUGAUGUGAAAGCCUUCGGCUCAACCGAAGAAGUGCAUCGGAAACUGGGAAACUUGAGUGCAGAAGAGGACAGUGGAACUCCAUGUGUAGCGGUGAAAUGCGUAGAUAUAUGGAAGAACACCAGUGGCGAAGGCGGCUGUCUGGUCUGUAACUGACGCUGAGGCUCGAAAGCAUGGGUAGCAAACAGGAUUAGAUACCCUGGUAGUCCAUGCCGUAAACGAUGAGUGCUAGGUGUUGGAGGGUUUCCGCCCUUCAGUGCCGCAGCUAACGCAUUAAGCACUCCGCCUGGGGAGUACGACCGCAAGGUUGAAACUCAAAGGAAUUGACGGGGGCCCGCACAAGCGGUGGAGCAUGUGGUUUAAUUCGAAGCAACGCGAAGAACCUUACCAGGUCUUGACAUCCUUUGACCACUCUAGAGAUAGAGCUUUCCCUUCGGGGACAAAGUGACAGUGGUGCAUGGUGUCGUCAGCUCGUGUCGUGAGAUGUUGGGUUAAGUCCCGCAACGAGCGCACCCUUAUUACUAGUGCCAGCAUUUAGUUGGGCACUUCUAGUGAGACUGCGUGACAAACCGGAGAAGGUGGGGGACGACGUCAAUCAUCAUGCCUUAUGACCUGGGCUACACACGGUGCUCACAAUGGAAUGGU
rnacentral:rRNA from 1 species